rnacentral:rRNA from 1 species
GUGUCAGCAGCCGCGGUAAUACGAAGGGUGCAAGCGUUACUCGGAAUUACUGGGCGUAAAGCGUGCGUAGGUGGUUUGUUAAGUCUGAUGUGAAAGCCCUGGGCUCAACCUGGGAAUUGCAUUGGAUACUGGCAGGCUAGAGUGCGGUAGAGGAUGGCGGAAUUCCCGGUGUAGCAGUGAAAUGCGUAGAGAUCGGGAGGAACAUCUGUGGCGAAGGCGGCCAUCUGGACCAGCACUGACACUGAGGCACGAAAGCGUGGGGAGCAAACAGGAUUAGAAACCCCUGUAGUCC